AGUGAACGCUGGCGGUAGGCCUAACACAUGCAAGUCGAACGGCAGCACAGUAAGAGCUUGCUCUUACGGGUGGCGAGUGGCGGACGGGUGAGGAAUACAUCGGAAUCUACUUUUUCGUGGGGGAUAACGUAGGGAAACUUACGCUAAUACCGCAUACGACCUACGGGUGAAAGCAGGGGAUCUUCUGACCUUGCGCGAUUGAAUGAGCCGAUGUCGGAUUAGCUAGUUGGCGGGGUAAAGGCCCACCAAGGCGACGAUCCGUAGCUGGUCUGAGAGGAUGAUCAGCCACACUGGAACUGAGACACGGUCCAGACUCCUACGGGAGGCAGCAGUGGGUAAUAUUGGACAAAGGGCGCAAGCCUGAUCCAGCCAUACCGCGUGGGUGAAGAAGGCCUUCGGGUUGUAAAGCCCUUUUGUUGGGAAAGAAAAGCAGCAGGUUAAUACCCCGCUGUUCUGACGGUACCCAAAGAAUAAGCACCGGCUAACUUCGUG
rnacentral:rRNA from 1 species